GCUUCAUCCUUUCUUUGGAAAGGAUUGUGCCACUUUAAGAGCACCAAGUGGGAGGUGAUAUACACUGUACAAACAAGUACCUGUGCACACUGCUGCGCUCACCUGAGCCUCGCACAGCUGAGGGGACGCUGCCCUCACCCUCCCUGGUUUGUCCCACAGGUUGAACACCUUCUCCGGCGCGCACCCUUGCUGCCUGACAGCAGAGGAUGGACACCCAAACGAAGCAAUUUGAUUUUAUCUGCAGGACUUGCAAGACACCUUGAGGGCACUGAGAAGCUUCAGACUCUUGACAUGGAGGAAAUCAUAGUGGAAACAAUCCUGGCCCCAUGGGAAAUACUGCUGGUCAUUUUUGCUGCAGUGCUGAUAAUGAGUUUUCUCAUGUUUCUGCCCCCUGCUGCGGUGGUGAUCUGGAGAAUGAAGCGUGUGCCGCAGAUCUCUUUGCAUGGCUCAGUGUGAGCCAGCCCUGGUACAAGCUGUAACAUCACUGAUCCCUUUAAAGGAUGGUUCAGAAUGAUAACAUCUCUCAGGAUCACUCUUACUGCCUAGGAUCCAUCCAAAAGCGAAGGGUUUCCCAGUCUAUUGCUGCUAAGUUCCUGCGAAAAGAGAGUGUGUAUAAUUUUGUCUUCACGUGCUAAAGUUCUCAGCACUUUGCCUUCCAUUUUUUGGCUAUGUUGUAAUUACUGUUGUUGGUUUAGUUCCUAGACUGACUUCUUGCAUAAUAAUGGAUGGAAAACAAGACUGAAAGAGAAGCGAGCAUUAAUACAGCAUUGGAUUCCCCCAGCUAAUAUCAGGAAAGCCUCCCUUUCUAUAGUUAUGCUGUAAAUAUUACCAAAGCCUUUAGCUGAGAUGACUGACAGUUAUGCAGGUGGACAUAUCAAAAGCAUGCUGUAUACUCUGGGGAGGUAGUGGUUUAGUCUGGUUGUACUGUGAAGCCUAAAAAAACCCAACAGAGAAUAGUGCAAUAAAUAAGCAUCUUGUGCUGCUUUUGUCUGAUCUGAAAACUUACUGGCCUAAAAUGUUUUUUGUUUCUUUCCUUCUAUAUGAAUUUUCCUCUCUCUGCAAAUCCCGAGUGCCAGAACACAAAGCCCUCCCCAUCCCGGGGUUAGAGCAGGAGCGUGAGGGAUGGCCCGAUGCUCAGACAUGCCCGGCCAGACACUGACUUGAAGUUAAUGCAAACAUACAGCAACUAUUUGCCUGAAUUACAUUAUGCAAAUUUACUCUGGGAAAUAACAUGAUUAAGUUACUUCAGUUUUUAACUGUGUCAUAUAGGCUUAUUGGUUCAACUUCCCUUUCUCAUAUAUAAAUAAUAACUUGGAUGGUGGGAAUAGAACAAAACUGCUUCUCUGCAAGUUUAUGAAAAAAACCCCAACAACCCAAUCUCCAGCUUAAUAUCAAAUUCAUGCCACAUCAAAUUAAAGCUUUCUAGUCUAAUUCUUCCACACCGGGGGAUGCUCAUUAGCAGGCUUUCUGAUGCACAGAUUUAACAGUUUCUGUUAGUUUACAAGAGCAAUGGGUUUGAUUUCCUCAUGAAAUCCAAUACUGGGUUUCUUUUCUUUUGUUGGUUGGAUUGGAAAGUCACUAGAAUAACUUAAUAUAGUUCAAAGAAAAAUGUUUUUUAGCACCAGUAGGAAAAUGAUACUGGAAAGUGCUCAGUGCUUCAGGUAUUUUAUUUGAGCAUCAGCUGACAAUGAAUUGGCUGGAAGUGAAAGAUUCAAGGACAUUAUAAUUUUAUUUGAUAGAGAUUAUUUGUUUGGCAGAAAUAAACAAACCCACCAGUGACUGAAAAACCGUUGCUUUUCUUUAAGACUACAGAACUUACCUUUGUCUUCAGCACAAUGACUUAAAUUACUGCCUCACAGUUUAUAAGCAGCCAAAGCAGCCAACUCAUCCCUUUGUUGGUGUAAUUGUCCGCUACACUCAUAGUCAUAUGACUGUCUGGUUCUGGGCCCAAAGCAACCAAUGGUUUUUUUGCUUGUAAUGACUGGAUUCUGAGUCUGAAAGACAGUGUGUAAUUUUAUAUAUCUGAAUCAUUUAACUGAUUAAUGAGGUAAAGGUCAAUUAUACAUCAUGUACCUGUCUGUGUCUGAGAGGUUCACAGGAAUGGGGAAAAGGUAAAGAAGAGAAAGGAAACACAAACAGAUGAGCUGGCUGUCUUCAGAUCUGUAGCUUCAGUGUUUGCUCAACAGAAGAAAAUUAAAACAAAACCCCAAGCACGGAUUCCACUGAAAACCAAGCAAGCAGUAACUAAGCUUUUUGUUUAGAUUUCAUAAUAAUUCAGAUGCGCAUCUGUUCUGUAACCACAGCUCCACAAAUAAACUGCAUCACCAGUGCUAA